AUGAUGGACUACAGGACAGGACUGCUGCUUUUAACUGUCUGCUGGGCAGGUGUUGAUGGUCAGACUCUGACAGAAUCUGAACCAGUGGUUAAAAGGCCUGGAGAAUCCCACAGACUGACCUGUACAGGCUCUGGAUUCACAUUAAGCAGCUACCAUAUGGCCUGGGUCAGACAGGCUCCUGGAAAAGGACUGGAGUGGGUUGCUUAUAUCAGUAACGGUGGUGCCAGCAUCUACUACUCUCAGUCAGUUCAAGGCCGGUUUACCAUCUCCAGAGACAACAGCAGACAGCAGGUGUAUCUGCAGAUGAACAGCCUGAAGACUGAAGAUUCUGCUGUUUAUUAUUGUGCUCGACACUCACAGUGACUGGAGUUGGUUGAGCAGCUGUACAAAAUCCUACAGUACUCAUCCUCACUGUGCUUAUCGAUCAUGAGAAAGACUUUUAUUAUAAUUUAAUUCUGUCAUCAGCUUUUGUUGUUGUGGUAAUGAAAAUUGGCCCUGAGAAAGAUCAUCAUUAAGCAUAAACGAUAAACACAUGUCUAAAAAUGUUACUUUACAAAACAACCAAUGACAGCAAACACUGCUGAAUUUUUUUGUCCAGGUAUGAAUAAAAUAAAUACUACAUGUACACAU